rnacentral:rRNA from 1 species
GAUGAACGCUGGCGGCGUGCCUAAUACAUGCAAGUCGAGCGAACGGACGAGAAGCUUGCUUCUCUGAUGUUAGCGGCGGACGGGUGAGUAACACGUGGAUAACCUACCUAUAAGACUGGGAUAACUUCGGGAAACCGGAGCUAAUACCGGAUGAUAUUUUGAACCACAUGGUUCAAAAGUGAAAGACGGUAUUGCUUUAACUUAUAGAUGGAUCCGCUCUGCAUUAGCUAGUUGGUAAGGAAACGGCUUACCAAGGGAACGAUGCAUAGCCGACCUGAGAGGGGGAUCGGCCAAAUGGGAACGGGAACCCGGUCAAGCCCCCUACGGGAGGCAGCAGAAGGGAAUCUUCGGCAAGGAGCGAAAGCCUGACGGAGAAACGCCGCGUGAUGGAGGAAGUUCUUCGGACGGUAAAACCUUGUGAUUAGGGAAAAACAUAUGUGUAAGUAACUGUGCACAUCGUGACGGUACCUAAUCAGAAAGCCACGGCUAACUACGUG